UGCCAGCCGCCGCGGUAAUACGGAGGGUGCAAGCGUUAAUCGGAAUUACUGGGCGUAAAGCGCGCGUAGGUGGUUAGUUAAGCGGGAUGUGAAAGCCCAGGGCUCAACCUUGGAAUUGCAUUUCGAACUGACUGGCUAGAGUACGAUAGAGGGUAGUGGAAUUUCCAGUGUAGCGGUGAAAUGCGUAGAGAUUGGAAGGAACAUCAGUGGCGAAGGCGACUACCUGGAUUGAUACUGGCACUGAGGUGCGAAAGCGUGGGGAGCAAACAGGAUUAGAUA
rnacentral:rRNA from 1 species